UAAUCUUAAACCACGACAACUUCCUCCUCACCUCACUCCUCACUCUUUCAAGUCAGCCACUCUUUCUCAGACUCACUAAAACUCAACUCUCAAGGUCAAAGCACCACCACAUCUUCCAUCUUCCUUCUUCCUUCACCAUGGCAGCAACACCACCACGAAGUCUUCCUCCAUUUCAGAGUUCUCCCACGUCUCCAGUCGACGGUCACAGGCACACCACCAGUCUCUGCCUCCUCUUAAUCUCACUCACUCACGAAUUGGUACUCUACUGUCCAAGAAAAAAGGAGAAAACAUUGCAUGCAACACAUUUGAUGAGGUUAGCAAAAGUGACUCGCCACCAAAGAGUGAUGGCAAAGAAACUCAUAGGAAGAGAUUAUUGGAAAAUUAUUUCCAACAACAAAAAAUGUUUGUGACUGAGAAAAUGAAUGAUGUUAACAAAUACUUGGCUGAAGAACCAGUCAAUCCAAUGACUUCCUCAUUUGAUAUCCUAUUUUGGUGGAAGGACAAUUCUAAUAGUGUGAUGCAGGAAAAUGAUUAUGGAGGCGGAAGGAUUCUUGGCAGCUUGGCUUGUGUGUUAAGGAUGAAUGGAUUCAAUGGACUGCGUGUUGAUCGAGGACGACGUUAUUUAUUUUAUGUCUUUUAAAUUAUGUUUUGAUGUAAUUCCGCAAUUAGUAUUUAAAGUUAUGUUUUAUGUUUUAUAAACAAUGGGUACCCAUGCCAUAUUACAUUUUAUUUUAUACUUUUAUGUUAUUGAUACAAUAUUUAU